UACGAAGGGGGCUAGCGUUGCUCGGAAUCACUGGGCGUAAAGCGCACGUAGGCGGCUUGGCAAGUCGGGUGUGAAAGCCCUGGGCUCAACCUAGGAAGUGCACUCGAAACUGCCACGCUUGAGUCUUGGAGAGGAAGGCGGAAUUCUCGGUGUAGAGGUGAAAUUCGUAGAUAUCGGGAGGAACACCGGUGGCGAAGGCGGCCUUCUGGACAAUGACUGACGCUGAGACGCGAAAGCGUGGGGAGCAAACAGG
rnacentral:rRNA from 1 species